rfam:Drosophila erecta strain TSC#14021-0224.01 Ctg01_6004, whole genome shotgun sequence.
CGGGGGUCCAAUCUAAUUCUGCAUAAUGGUUUAUUUAUGUAGUCUCGCUUUUGGACCAGAACAAUCACCAUCCUUUAUUAUCCUUGUGCUUGUAAUAUCAUUUAGUUCAAUGCACACGAGAAACGUAAAAGAACACUC